GUCCACAAUUGAACCCAUUUAACAAUUAUUUUCUAUAUAAGUUUUGGUUAGGUUAAAAAUAAGGGAUGGUGAAAUAUUUUAGUAUUGGGGAGUGAAAUUUUCAGAUUAUUUUAAUUCACAACAUAGGGUCUCUUCAUUGGGCAUGCCGCCGAAACUCCACCACUUCACCACCCCAAAAGGCCCAAAACCCCCAUUCAUUUUCUCUCUUUUCCGGCAAAACACCACCGAAACAACCUCCAAACGACCACCUGAGUCCACCACCAAAUCCCCUUUGGUCUUUUCUUCUUUUUCCGGUGAAAUAGUCACCGGAAGCAGCUCCAGACAACAACAUAACAACCCCAUUUCAUGCCUUUCUUUCCAUCGCUGCUACCAGUUAGUCCUCACCUUAUCCGACCAACCCAAACCCCGCCGGAAUCCGGCGAAACCCAUAGACCCACCCCCAUUCUCCAACUACCAGACCCUUCCAGCCAUUUUCUCCCUUUCAGUAUACGACCUCAAGCUCGCUGAAACAGCACCAAAGCUUCGAACCAGAAUCCCACCUCUGUUCCCCAUUUUUCCCGACCAAUCGAGCUUCAAGCUCCGGCGAACAACAGACCACCAACGGCUAGUCCCCUUUCCCUCUUCCCCUUCACGAUUUUCUUUUGCUUUUUAGGUGUUUCAACUCAACAUCAAUGAGCUCUAGGCUCAAGCAACCAAUGAAGCUCCAAACUCCAGCACGGCUCCACAAGUGAGCCAGUGAGCUCGAAACCGAUCGCAACUCCGUCAAGCCACAGCAAAUCAGAAAUAAACAAGUCCAUUUCUUCGACCAUGAGCUCCAAACAGUACCCGGAGGUACUUCCCAUUAAAGUUAUUUGAAUUAGGUUCGAAUUAUACUUCUAUUUAUAUUGUAGAUUAUUGACGAUAGGCAAAUUUAGGCCGAUUUCUAUAUUAUUGUUUUAUCAUAUUACUUGUGUAUAUUGCAUGUUUAUUAUAUUUGUACAGUAUUUUAUUCUCAUCCUCAAUUUGAAAAAAAAAUGAAUUCAGUCGGGAUCCACAUUUGUGGAUUUCGAAAGAUGCCUAA